UUCUACCCUAAUCGUCUUCUCCGUGUCCUAAUCGCUGAUGACGGUCGCUGUUCUGAUCAUUGCUGUUGCUGCGCCACCGUCACCAUCAUCAUCUCCGUGCUUCUCAUCAUCGUCUUCACUGUGCUCACAUCGUUGAAUAUAUUGAAGCAGCAAUAACCAAGGAUGAGCUUCAGCACCUCGCUUUGCUGUUCAAAUCUGAAUUUGAUUCAAUUGGUCAAAUCACUGCUGGAGUUUUGCGGCUGCUUAAGCUGGAAGGUUCUGUUGGUCAGGCUGUAAUAGAUCAACUUGGUAACCUAGGUAAUGGAUAGUGAUUUGAAGCAAGGUUUCAUGAAUCCAAGGGAUUGGUUCAUUGAUGACAACUAGUGAUCAUGUCAUGUAUGAUACUUAGAAUUUUACAGA